GUGGGGAAUAUUGGACAAUGGGCGAAAGCCUGAUCCAGCCAUGCCGCGUGAGUGAUGAAGGCCCUAGGGUUGUAAAGCUCUUUCACCGGGGAAGAUAAUGACGGUACCCGGAGAAGAAGCCCCGGCUAACUUCGUGCCAGCAGCCGCGGUAAUACGAAGGGGGCUAGCGUUGUUCGGAAUUACUGGGCGUAAAGCGCACGUAGGCGGACUAUUAAGUCAGGGGUGAAAUCCCGGGGCUCAACCCCGGAACUGCCUUUGAUACUGGUAGUCUAGAGUUCGAGAGAGGUGAGUGGAAUUCCGAGUGUAGAGGUGAAAUUCGUAGAUAUUCGGAGGAACACCAGUGGCGAAGGCGGCUCACUGGCUCGAUACUGACGCUGAGGUGCGAAAGCGUGGGGAGCAAACAGGAUUAGAUACCCUAGUAGUCC
rnacentral:rRNA from 1 species